GAUUGGGUGUGUAGUAGUGACGUAGAUGUUUUUGUUAGAAUACACUGAUUAAUCGAACAGGCCUUUCAGUAUAAACUGUGAAACCUAGGUAUCGGAAUCAUAAGCGAUUACGUUCUUAGCCUUGUUGGACAUCGGCCAGCGACUGAAAACUCCUUUGGAAUUACUGAAAUAAUUUGCGGAAGCUUAAAAAAAUGGCAGACAACGAGAAUGUAGAACAGCCAAUCGAAGUUGAAGAGGAGGUAAAAGAGGUGCAAGAGAAUGAAAGUGAAGAUAAAUCAGAAGAGACAUUAACAAGCAGAAAUGUUGUCUCCGUUCCUUCUAACUGCCCAGAGGGGUAUGUACGAGGCGCUGAUGGAGUAUGCAGACAAGUGUUUUGACCAAUACUAUAUUUUAGGUUAGAAAUAAGUUUAUCAACUAGGUUAAAUUGUAUGUGUGACAAAUUAUUUAGGAAAUGAAUCGCCUAUAGAAUAAGUAAAGUGUCGUAACUUUUUAAGGUUUGUAAUAAAAUUAUUAUGAAAUAGA